UACGUAGGGACCAAGCGUCGUCCGGAAUUAUUGGGCGUAAAGAGCUCGUAGGCGGCUGUCCACGUCGGAUGUGAAAGCUCGGGGCUCAACCCUGAGAGGCCAUUCGAUACGGGACGGCUAGAGGUAGGUAGGGGAGAUUGGAAUUCCUGGUGUAGCGGUGAAAUGCGCAGAUAUCAGGAGGAACACCGGUGGCGAAGGCGGAUCUCUGGGCCUUACCUGACGCUGAGGAGCGAAAGCUGGGGGAGCAAACAGG
rnacentral:rRNA from 1 species